rnacentral:rRNA from 1 species
GACGAACGCUGGCGGCGUGCUUAACACAUGCAAGUCGAACGGAGAAUUUAUUUCGGUAAAUUCUUAGUGGCGAACGGGUGAGUAACGCGUGGGCAACCUGCCCUUCAGAUGGGGACAACAUCCCGAAAGGGGUGCUAAUACCGAAUACGAUCACGCUGCCGCAUGGCGGUGUGAUGAAAGAUGGCCUCUAUUUAUAAGCUAUCGCUGAAGGAUGGGCCUGCGUCUGAUUAGCUAGUUGGUGGGGUAACGGCCUACCAAGGCGAUGAUCAGUAGCCGGUCUGAGAGGAUGAACGGCCACAUUGGGACUGAGACACGGCCCAAACUCCUACGGGAGGCAGCAGUGGGGAAUAUUCCGCAAUGGACGAAAGUCUGACGGAGCAACGCCGCGUGAGUGAUGAAGGUUUUCGGACUGUAAAACUCUGUUGUUUAGGACGAAAGUGCCUGUUGCAAAUAGUUGCAGGUAUUGACGGUACUGAACGAGGAAGCCACGGCUAACUACGUGCCAGCCGCCGCCGUAA